UACGUAGGGUGCAAGCGUUAAUCGGAAUUACUGGGCGUAAAGCGUGCGCAGGCGGCUAUGCAAGACAGAUGUGAAAUCCCCGGGCUCAACCUGGGAACUGCAUUUGUGACUGCAUAGCUAGAGUACGGUAGAGGGGGGUGGAAUUCCGCGUGUAGCAGUGAAAUGCGUAGAUAUGCGGAGGAACACCGAUGGCGAAGGCAAUCCCCUGGACCUGUACUGACGCUCAUGCACGAAAGCGUGGGGAGCAAACAGG
rnacentral:rRNA from 1 species